rnacentral:tRNA from 1 species
GGGGUCGUAGUUCAGUUGGCUAGAACGCUGCCCUGUCACGGCAGAGGCCGCGGGUUCGAGUCCCGUCGACCCCGCCA